rnacentral:piRNA from 1 species
UGCAUGUGUUCACUCAAGACCCUGGAGC